UGUGCAUGAUUGGACCCACUACUUCUUGCAUGCCUUCUGUUGCCCUUUUGGUGCCCCCCAGCCCCUGCAAACACGGGUGAGUCAUUCACACACUACAGAAACAUGUCACCUGCCAACUGACACUUCAAGUCAUUUCUCUUUUUCGUUUAGCGGUGUUAAAGAAGAAGGAAACUUCCAAGAGUGACCUGGCGGACAUGGUCCAAAACCAAGCGAUGGAGCGUGACAACUUGCAAGAAAAAUCAGAGCCAGAAUCAUCUUUAUUGGCCAAGUACCGAUGAAAGACUCGCGCAGAAAAGUGGGGUGAAACCAAGCGUCUUUUUGUGUCGUUCUCGCCAUUGCCGGGUCUAAAUUGGCUGUCAACGUGCACCAACUUGUCGGAUUACAUCACCAUCCUUCAACUAUAAAGUCUACUGCCUUCAGGGGCCACAAGAGGAAGUGACCAACCAGAUUCAGCAGAUGGAGCAGCGGUAGAAAAAGGCUGUUUGUGGCAGAUGACACCCACCUAUCACCCUCUACAGGACUGGAGUGGAACUGUAUCACUUGCAUUAUACACUGUUUCUGCUAGCAGCUAAGCUAUGUCAAAGUGUCCAAAAGUUAAAGGAUGACACACAUCUCCACACCAAAAUUGCGGAGCAUACACUGUUUCUGAUAGCAGCUAACCAGCUAUGUCAAAGUGUCCAAAAGUUGAAGGACGCAUGCAUCUGGACACCAAAAUUGCAGAGUCAUUCCAGGUGCACAAAUGCACUGGUGACGCGAUUCACAGCCUCGUCGCUGAAUGUGGAAGUGAAAGAAAAGUGUCAGUGUGCUGCUGCUGCUGCUGCUGGUUCAACACAUCGCACACAGACGGUGGUGAGCACGGAAUGAAACCGAGGCUGACUCGGCAGAAGAUGAUAUUGUGCAAGUAAUUGCUG